rnacentral:misc_RNA from 1 species
UUAACUUAUUUUUUGGGGGUUUUCAGAAGGACACUAAACAACAAGAGUUUAAAAAGUGGUCUUCGGCAGGCGGACGCGAGCCCGCCCUGGGGCCGCCCGCCGAAGCAACUUGACAAGAAAUAAUGACAAAGGGUUGGAGUUUUACAACUCAGUAAUGAUCCCUCCGCUGGUUCACCAACGGAGA